rnacentral:rRNA from 1 species
GACGAACGCUGGCGGCGUGCCUAAUACAUGCAAGUAGAACGCUGAAGAGAGGAGCUUGCUCUUCUUGGAUGAGUUGCGAACGGGUGAGUAACGCGUAGGUAACCUGCCUGGUAGCGGGGGAUAACUAUUGGAAACGAUAGCUAAUACCGCAUAAAAUUGAUUAUUGCAUGAUAAUUAAUUGAAAGAUGCAAUUGCAUCACUACCAGAUGGACCUGCGUUGUAUUAGCUAGUUGGUGAGGUAACGGCUCACCAAGGCGACGAUACAUAGCCGACCUGAGAGGGUGAUCGGCCACACUGGGACUGAGACACGGCCCAGACUCCUACGGGAGGCAGCAGUAGGGAAUCUUCGGCAAUGGGGGGAACCCUGACCGAGCAACGCCGCGUGAGUGAAGAAGGUUUUCGGAUCGUAAAGCUCUGUUGUAAGAGAAGAACGGGUGUGAGAGUUGAAAGUUCACACUGUGACGGUAUCUUACCAGAAAGGGACGGCUAACUACGUGC